GAUGAACGCUGGCGGCGUGCCUAAUACAUGCAAGUCGAGCGAACGGACGAGAAGCUUGCUUCUCUGAUGUUAGCGGCGGACGGGUGAGUAACACGUGGAUAACCUACCUAUAAGACUGGGAUAACUUCGGGAAACCGGAGCUAAUACCGGAUAAUAUUUUGAACCGCAUGGUUCAAAAGUGAAAGACGGUCUUGCUGUCACUUAUAGAUGGAUCCGCGCUGCAUUAGCUAGUUGGUAAGGUAACGGCUUACCAAGGCAACGAUGCAUAGCCGACCUGAGAGGGUGAUCGGCGACACUGGAACGGAGACACGGUCCAGACUCCUACGGGAGGCAGCAGUAGGGAAUCUUCCGCAAUGGGCGAAAGCCUGACGGAGCAACGCCGCGUGAGUGAUGAAGGUCUUCGGAUCGUAAAACUCUGUUAUUAGGGAAGAACAUAUGUGUAAGUAACUGCGCACAUCUUGACGGUACCUAAUCAGAAAGCCACGGCUAACUACGUG
rnacentral:rRNA from 1 species